UUCCGGUUGAUCCUGCCGGACCCGACUGCUAUUUGGGUGAGAAUAAGCCAUGCGAGUUGAAUGGGAUACCUAAAGUUCCCAUAGCAAACUGCUCAGUAACACAUGAUCAACUUACCCUAUAGAGAAAAAUAACCUCGGGAAACUGAGGAUAAUGUUUCAUAAUUGAAUUGGCUUGGAAAAGUUUUUCAAUGAAAAGGAUAAAAAAAAUGGUUUUUAUCUGCUAUAGGAUAGGAUCGUGUUCGAUUAUGGUUGUUGGUGAGAUAAUGGCUCACCAAGCCGAUAAUCGAUAGGGGCCGUGAGAGCGGGAGCCCCGAGAUGGGUACUGAGACAACGACCCAGGCCUUACGAGGCGCAGCAGGCGCGGAACCUCCGCAAUACACGAAAGUGUGACGGGGUUACCCAAAGUGUUCAAUAGAACUGUGGUAGGUGAGUAAUGUUCCCUACUAGAAAGGAGAGGGCAAGGCUGGUGCCAGCCGCCGCGGUAAAACCAGCUCUUCAAGUGGUCGGGAUAAUUAUUGGGCUUAAAGUGUCCGUAGCCGGUUUAGUAAGUUCCUGGUAAAAUCGGGUAGCUUAACUAUCUGCAUGCUAGGAAUACUGCUAUACUAGAGGGCGGGAGAGGUCUGAGGUACUACAGGGGUAGGGGUGAAAUCUUAUAAUCCUUGUAGGACCACCAGUGGCGAAGGCGUCAGACUGGAACGCGCCUGACGGUGAGGGACGAAAGCCAGGGGAGCGAACCGGAUUAGAUACCCGGGUAGUCCUGGCCGUAAACGAUGCAUACUAGGUGAUGGUACGGCCAUGAGCCGUAUCAGUGCCGUAGGGAAACCGUUAAGUGUGCCGCCUGGGAAGUACGGUCGCAAGGCUAAAACUUAAAGGAAUUGGCGGGGGAGCACCACAAGGGGUGAAGCCUGCGGUUCAAUUGGAUUCAACGCCGGAAAUCACUAGUGCGGCCG
rnacentral:rRNA from 1 species